GACGAACGCUGGCGGCGUGCUUAACACAUGCAAGUCGAACGGAAAGGCCCUGCUUUUGUGGGGUGCUCGAGUGGCGAACGGGUGAGUAACACGUGAGUAACCUGCCCUUGACUUUGGGAUAACUUCAGGAAACUGGGGCUAAUACCGGAUAGGAGCUCCUGCUGCAUGGUGGGGGUUGGAAAGUUUCGGCGGUUGGGGAUGGACUCGCGGCUUAUCAGCUUGUUGGUGGGGUAGUGGCUUACCAAGGCUUUGACGGGUAGCCGGCCUGAGAGGGUGACCGGCCACAAUGGGACUGAGAGACGGCCCAGACUCCUACGGGAGGCAGCAGUGGGGAAUAUUGCACAAUGGGAGGAAGCCUGAUGCAGCAACGCCGCGUGCGGGAUGACGGCCUUCGGGUUGUAAACCGCUUUCGCCUGUGACGAAGCGUGAGUGACGGUAAUGGGUAAAGAAGCACCGGCUAACUACGUG
rnacentral:rRNA from 1 species